AACGAACGCUGGCGGCAUGCCUAACACAUGCAAGUCGAACGAGAUCUUCGGGUCUAGUGGCGCACGGGUGCGUAACGCGUGGGAAUCUGCCCUUUGGUUCGGAAUAACAGUUGGAAACGACUGCUAAUACCGGAUGAUGACGAAAGUCCAAAGAUUUAUCGCCAGAGGAUGAGCCCGCGUAGGAUUAGCUAGUUGGUGUGGUAAAGGCGCACCAAGGCGACGAUCCUUAGCUGGUCUGAGAGGAUGGUCAGACACACUGGGACUGAGACACGGCCCAGACUGCUACGGGAGGCAGCAGUGGGGAAUAUUGGAAAAUGGGCGAAAGCCUGAUCCAGCAAUGCCGCGUGAGUGAUGAAGGCCUUAGGGUUGUAAAGCUCUUUUACCCGGGAUGAUAAUGACAGUACCGGGAGAAUAAGCUCCGGCUAACUCCGUGCCAGCCGCCGCCGUAA
rnacentral:rRNA from 1 species